GGCAUGUACCGCCACAUGGAUUCAUGCGUUGUCAAAUUAUGUCUGCAGUCUUUCCGGGGAGAGCAGCGGUUGGAUACACCUCACCGUGGCGUGCCAAAAGUCACACGAACGCGUGCCGCUGAAGAUGAAAACGAGCUCCAUUUGAAUCACACUUUGCCAAUGUGGCCGCGGCUGAGCGGUCGCAGCGCACACACAAGUGAACACGGCAGCACCGACGGCUCUUCUCCGCCUUGACAUGUCCUUACACGGAGAGCACUAGUACGUUUAUAAUCUAAAUGUGUUACUGGGUCAGGUCUCAGCGAUAGCGAGACGCAUGUCCAAUUGAUUGGCCACGCGGAUGGGGGAUACACUCACAGCCAUCUCCAAGCUCUGAUAUCUAUAGAACUCUUUCACGCAAAUUUGCUAAGGAACUUUGCUCAACAUUUGACGGAUAAACAUGUUUUUUUUUUAUGACAUUCAGACCACGUGUAAGAGAGGUUUGUAAUAGCUGUAUGAGGCACGUUCAAAAAUACAGAUAUCAAGUUUGCAGUUUGGGUUUCGGCAGGUGGCUCCUUCUACCAACCCGGACAAACUGCUGUUGCCCAAAAAGACUGGCAGAAAUAGGAAGAGGGGAUGGUGACGUGGGGGCAGAAAUAUGCAGACGUCACUGCUACUGGUGGACACCAGGAGGCCAUCAUCUCCCAGGGACUGUGUUACAUUUCAGCAGAGAUCGGGUUGCUGAUCACCGCACCGACUUCAGAAAGGGAUGUCAGGACGUUUUCCCUUCCCCUCAGAUGAGACAAUGAGUUUGAGAUGUGCACCAAAGGAGCUGUGAGGAUCUUCACACCGUCAUAUAAUUAACCAUGCAUAUUCAUGUCCCCCAGAAGAUGAAUCAUGUCUAUUUUGGACACUCUAGCAUCAUUUAACAGAUUGUAAAUCUGCUGAAAGCACAUGUGCUCCAAAGAUAAACUCUAUGAGACACUUGCCUUUUCUCUAAAGCCAAAAAAAAAACAGUUUUUGAUUAACUAGUAAGUUAGGCUUUAACAAAAGCAUGAUUUUUAAUGUCAUUUGGAACUUUAUGUGGAGUAUAGAUGACACUGUAGCCUUUACUGUAGAUGUCGCAUUCAAAAGGCAGAGGCAAGGUAAAAGAGGUUUGCUCUAUGGUUCCUUUACAUAUGAAUGGGCCAUUGCAAUAAACGACCAAUUAUGCUUUUA